GAGCUACCGUAGAACAUUGUAUGGUUGUUUUCUCUGAUUGGAAUGUGGAGCACCAACUGACCGUCUGUGUUUAGGUCAUCCUUGGAGAAGAUGAGGAAACUGAGGCUGACAGAAGUGAAGCAAAAUGCUCCUGGCCACGCAGCUGGAAGAUGGACCUUCUGGCCCGUGGCUUCCAACUUCAUCGCCGUUUGCCUUAUGGAAGGAAAUCAUGGAAUUCUAGAGCCAUCUUCCAGGUGGAC